CGGCUCUGUGUGUGUGUGAGCGCGCGUGUCCUUUGGUGUAAACGUCCUCCAACUCAUGAGUGAAGAUUUGAGGCAAACACACCAACAGAUGAAAAGAGCAACAGCCCCAAAUAUGAGAGCUUGAUGGACUGAGCAGCUGUCAGUGUCCAGGGAGGAGAGCAAAGGAGAUUGGACACAAUCAUGGAGGAGAUCCGGUGCUGAUGGUCCAAGAGUCAGAGUCAUGUUUCCCCUCCUUCGUGUGCUGCUUCCUGGCAGACAGGACUCUCAGCCGUGAGAACUUGUCCAGUAGCAGAGCUGGAAUGAUGGUGCUGAACCAUCCAUGACCUGGUUCGUGACCUGUCGGUUAUUAGCCGUUUCCCUCUCAUAUGCCUGACUUCACUACCUGCACCAGCCCUUGGAUUCCCUCUGACCUCAAUCUCCACCUGCCUCAGCACAUUUCACCUCUGUUUUCAGAUAAACUGUUAACCUAUCAUUGGUCUGAGACUGAUCCUUGCAUUUUGGUUUAUCUUAACAUUAAUACUUCUUAAUUCGUUGGUCUAUAACCGCUUAUAAUCACUAAAUAUCUUCUUCAAUAAAUGUCACACACUAACGUACAAACAAUGCAGUGGGAGAAAUUGGCUGUCAGUACAGCAACCCACAGCUCCUUUGGGCCCUGGGCUCCCCUAGCUUGUUGACCAGUCCUAACAUACAGUACACAUGUAAUGAAGGUGAUGGGGAUGUAGGAAAUACUAAAUGUAAAAACAGCUGAACUAUUUCUAUCUGCCAUCCAAAAACCUGCAGGGCAAACAGCGGUUUGUUGGAGUGUACUGUCACAUGCCUUUGGGGGGGUGUCUACAGCAUGUGACAUGUGAUGGAUGUGUGACAGAACAUGGUGACUGACUGUAAAAUCGGAACACAGCAUACACUUGUUGUCACCACUGAAGAAAAUGAGUGCUGAGGUAGUGAGUGAAGGGAGUUUUUUAAAAGGCCAACAUAUCUUCAUAGUACAUGAAGUGAACGACUUAUUAUACAACCCCAAUUCAAGUGAAGUUGGGA